rnacentral:rRNA from 1 species
UGAGUACGAGCUGCUACGGCAGCGAAGUGGGUGACGUCAAGCUUCCAAGAAAAGCCCUAUACCCGUUAAGGCAUGACUGCCUGUACCCGAAACCGACACAGGUGGGGUGGUAGAGAAUACCGAGGGGCGCGAGGUAACUCUCUCUAAGGAACUCGGCAAAAUGGCCCCGUAACUUCGGGAGAAGGGGUGCCACCGCAAGGUGGUCGCAGUGAAGAGGCCCAGGCGACUGUUUACCAAAAACACAGGUCUCCGCUAAGUCGCAAGACGAUGUAUGGGGGCUGACGCCUGCCCAGUGCCGGAAGGUUAAGGAAGCUGGUCAGCGCAAGCGAAGCUAGCGACUGAAGCCCCGGUGAACGGCGGCCGUAACUAUAACGGUCCUAAGGUAGCGAAAUUCCUUGUCGGGUAAGUUCCGACCCGCACGAAAGGCGUAACGAUCUGGGCGCUGUCUCGGAGAGAGGCUCGGCGAAAUAGAAUUGUCUGUGAAGAUGCGGACUACGUGCACCCGGACAGAAAGACCCUAUGAAGCUUUACUGUAGCUUGGUAUUGUGCCCUGGCUCUGAAUGCGCAGGAUAGGUGGGAGGCUUUGAUCCAUUGCUUGCGGGUGAUGGUGAGCCAACGGUGAGAUACCACUCUUUCAGAGCUAGGGUUCUAACGGUCACCCGUUAUCCGGGGACCGGACAGUAUCAGGUGGGCAGUUUGACCGGGGCGGUCGCCUCCUAAAAGGUAACGGAGGCGCGCAAAGGUUCCCUCAGGCUGGUUGGAAAUCAGCCGACGAGUGUAAAGGCAGAAGGGAGCUUGACUGUGAGACCAACAAGUCGAACAGGGACGAAAGUCGGCCUUAGUGAUCCGACGGUUCUGAGUGGAAGGGCCGUCGCUCAACGGAUAAAAGUUACUCUAAGGAUAACAGGCUGAUCUCCCCCAAGAGUUCACAUCGACGGGGAGGUUUGGCACCUCGAUGUCGGCUCAUCGCAACCUGGGGCUGAAGUCGGUCCCAAGGGUUGGGCUGUUCGCCCAUUAAAGCGGUACGCGAGCUGGGUUCAGAACGUCGUGAGACAGUUCGGUCCAUAUCCGGUGCAUGCGCAGGAACAUUGAGAGGAUUUCUCCCUAGUACGAGAGGACCGGGAGGAACGCACCUCUGGUGUACCAGUUAUCGUGCCAACGGUAAACGCUGGGUAGCCAUGUGCGGAGCGGAUAACCGCUGAAAGCAUCUAAGUGGGAAGCCCACCUCAAGAUGAGUGUUCCCAUGGCACAAGCCAGUAAGGUCACGGGAAGAACACCCGUUGAUAGGCUCUACGUGGAAGCGCAGUAAUGCGUGAAGCGGAGGAGUACUAAUAGACCGAGGGCUUGACC